rnacentral:rRNA from 1 species
UACGUAGGGGGCAAGCGUUAUCCGGAUUUACUGGGUGUAAAGGGAGCGUAGGCGGCGAUGCAAGUCAGAAGUGAAAGCCCGGGGCUCAACUCCGGGACUGCUUUUGAAACUGUGUUGCUAGAUUGCAGGAGAGGUAAGUGGAAUUCCUAGUGUAGCGGUGAAAUGCGUAGAUAUUAGGAGGAACACCAGUGGCGAAGGCGGCCGCCUGGCCUGUUGCUGACGCUGAGGCACGAAAGCGUGGGGAGCAAAUAGG